UGGGGAAUAUUGGACAAUGGACCAAAAGUCUGAUCCAGCAAUUCUGUGUGCACGAUGACGUUUUUCAGAAUGUAAAGUGCUUUCAGUUGGGAAGAAAAAAAUGACGGUACCAACAGAAGAAGUGACGGCUAAAUACGUGCCAGCAGCCGCGGUAAUACGUAUGUCACAAGCGUUAUCCGGAUUUAUUGGGCGUAAAGCGCGUCUAGGUGGUUAUGUAAGUCUGAUGUGAAAAUGCAGGGCUCAACUCUGUAUUGCGUUGGAAACUGCAUGACUAGAGUACUGGAGAGGUAAGCGGAACUACAAGUGUAGAGGUGAAAUUCGUAGAUAUUUGUAGGAAUGCCGAUGGGGAAGCCAGCUUACUGGACAGAUACUGACGCUAAAGCGCGAAAGCGUGGGUAGCAAACAGGAUUAGAUACCCUGGUAGUCCACGCCGUAAACGAUGAUUACUAGGUGUUGGGGGUCGAACCUCAGCGCCCAAGCUAACGCGAUAAGUAAUCCGCCUGGGGAGUACGUACGCAAGUAUG
rnacentral:rRNA from 1 species